rnacentral:rRNA from 1 species
UACGUAGGGUGCAAGCGUUGUCCGGAAUUAUUGGGCGUAAAGAGCUCGUAGGCGGUCUGUCGCGUCUGCUGUGAAAACUCGGGGCUUAACCCCGGGCCUGCAGUGGGUACGGGCAGACUAGAGUGCGGUAGGGGAGACUGGAAUUCCUGGUGUAGCGGUGGAAUGCGCAGAUAUCAGGAGGAACACCGAUGGCGAAGGCAGGUCUCUGGGCCAUUACUGACACUGAGAAGCGAAAGCAUGGGGAGCGAACAGG